AAACCGGUGGGAAAAGACAUGGGCGGGAUUGGGGAAAAUACUUUUUGCACCGGUUCCUAAUAAACCGGUGCGAAAUACAAAAUAUUAAAAAAAAAGGGGGUGGAAGAGAUUUCGCACCGAUACAGUCAAAACCGGUGCGAAAUAGUGUUUUAGCACCGGUUCAAACCGGUGCGAAAUUAUAAAAAAAAACCGGGCUGCUAGGUAUAUCUCUUUAAUCCGCCUCUUUAUUUCACUCUCCCUGGUUCUGCUCUCCUUCUCUCUCAUCUCUGGUUCUGCUCUCCUCUCUCAUUUUCUCUCAUCUUUCGUUCUACUCUCAUCUCUCCUUCCUCUUUCGUUCCCAUCUCGUUCUGCUUUCAUCUCUCGUGUACUGUAAGGUCUUCGAUUUUCGUUCGAAUCUUGUUCGAGUUAAAGCAAGUGGUGAACGAUUGAAGUGCGAUCUGAAUCCUCCAUUGAAGUGCCUUCUUAGCUCUCUCUCCUCCUCCAUGAAGCAGCUUUUGAGUUUCAGAAUUUGGAUUCUUCAGAACCAUCAUCGCAUAGACAACGAGCCGGAGGAGGAGGGAUUUGUUUUUGAGGUACUCUGAAAAGCACUUUAAUGGUGCUUAUGAGUUCAGGUAUGAAUAAUUGAAUAUAUGUUUUUGAAUUUAAAUUAAUUUGCUGAUUUUUUCUGCCAUUUGUUUAGGCGAAAUUUCUUUGUUUGUUAUCAGUUGAUUAAGCUUCAUGUUGUUUGAAUGGGUUUUUAUUUGUGAGUUGAGUUGGGUUUUUUUUUUAAUUUUUUAUUUUUGUAUAUAUAUAUCUACAGAUAAGUCCUUUCUUACAUCUCAAUGGAUUUUAAAGAAAGAGAUUAGGAGCAUGUGACAUCCUUUUAUACAAAUUAAUGAGGCUGUGAUGAGUCAAUUCAAAGUAAUCGAUGGUUUGGUUUUGGAAUGUUCUACGAAUUUGGGAUAAGUUUUGAUCAUUUGGCUAUUUUGUAUGAAUACUUUGUGUGGUAAGUAACCUAAUAAGAUUUGAAUAGGUGAACUGUCUAUUUUACUGUUGUGUUUAGAUGAUUUUGUUCUUUGUUUUACUGUUUUGUUUGACUAUUUAUAGUUGAUUUUGUGGGAUUUUCUUAUUGUGGUUGAUUUGGUCAGAUUUUGUAUGUUUCCUUUUUGAUCUGACUUUCUUAUUGGCUUCCUUAGAUCUAGGCGUGAAUUAGGUAGUUGAAAUUUUUUGAUUUUGGGCAAUAUUCAUCCUUUAUUUACCUGGGUUUUUGUAAGGUUCAUUGUCGACAUAAUUGGUUAGUUUGCUUGGUUUAUGUUGUCUUGAGUUUUCUAGAGAAAUAUUACCAGGUUUAGUCAUGUAUCUUAUUGCAUUGUCCUCUAAGAUCAUUGAGUCACAUAGUAUCCGAAAUUGUGUACAAAAUCUUUAUUGGGUUGUCUUCAAUCAUGUCUAGAACCUGCUUUUGGUGUGUUUUUGCCAAGGAUUGGUGUGCUUCAUUGUUAUUGGUAUUGCUCUUCAAGUUCAUGCUGCUUGUAGUUCAUUGUCGUAAGUUCAAUGCCUGCUGAUUGCUGAUUCUGGUUUUAUUUUCGCGUUUUCUUUCGCUGCUUUCAUACUUUGCCAAGAAAAAGGAGACCGAAGCAGUGAUAGUGCAAUGCCUGGGAGUUGUUACUACUUAUGUAAUGAUUUCACAGCUAGCAAUGGCUGAAGCAAUGCCUUCUCUUUAUUUCACUUUGGUAUUCUUCCGUCUGUUAUCUGGGGUUUGUGGGAAGAUUUUCUCACUGUUGGUGGGCUUUCUGUCCUUCCCCAGGUUAUGUGGUCCACAUUUGUUCCAUAUAUUCCAAACAACAUUCUUCCUGGGGCUAUAUCUUUCGUUAUAGCCAUGGUAGCAGCUGUUAUGGUUAGAGCGGGUAAACUCUCUGAGAAAGGUGUCAAAUUUUAUGGAGCUAUAUCAGGGUGGACUGCUACCCUUCUCUUCAUGUGGGUGCCAAUUCCACAAUUGUGGACAAAAUUUCCUAAAUCCUGAUAACAUAAAAGGCUUGUCGGCUUUAACAAUGUUGCUGGCAAUGGCUGGAAAUGGAUUAAUGAUUCCACGUGCGCUUUUCACCCGUGAUUUUAUGUGAAAUUACUGGAGGGCUCCAAAAAGGGUUCUGGAAUUCUUUGUAAUUGCUGUGAUACGGUGGUUAGUGCUUCGCAAUUUGAGGCACAUGCUGGUUGUGCUUCACGCAGAAAACCUACAAUGAUGACCUGACAGAAGUUUAUGAACAAGCGGAGCACUUUGGGCAGAUUGUAUAGGCUCCAUACAUUGAAGAGCAUGAGUUCUAACAAUUGAAUUGACUAUUAGGCUCAUCAAACUCACAUUGCCCUCCAGAUUUCUGCAUGUUGAUUCAGCCAGCAAUACAAACCAGCAAUGGCAGCAGCAGAACACAACCAGGCACCAUCAGCAUAACCAAAGCAGCAACAACAGUACAGCAGCAGCACCACAAAAGAAAAACAAAUAGCAGCUAGCAACCCACCCAGCACCCCACAGCAACUCAUCCAUCACCAUGAAGGCGUUUUUGAACAAAUUAAAGAGUAAUUUCAUAUACAAAAUGUUAUUUUAUUUUUUAGACGAUAAUUGUAAUAU